rnacentral:sRNA from 1 species
UUUUCAAACACGUUAAACAUAUAUUGCAUUGCAUUAAGUUUACAAUAUGUCACCAUCAUUAAUAAGCAUGCACACUUACAAAUUCAAAUAACAUAAAUACAUCAAAUAACAUAAUAACAUAAACACAUUGUUGUUGGGAACAAAUGUUUGGGCCGUAUUGAUUGUGGUUUUAGAAAGACUCCGCUCUCAUUGAUGAUGAGCCGUGUGCUCUGAUACAUAAUAAGCAAGCUGUGUAACCUUGAACAAUGAAAAAUGAAAAAAAUUGGCUUCAUUUUCUCUCUUGAACAAUGAAAAACAAAAUCUUUCUUUGCGAACCCAUCAAUGAGGGAGGGAAUUGAUCUCUCAAAAAUCACUUAGGCGGCAAAUAUUAACUCUUUGUUAAUGAACCAACUAUACGACAUUCGCGGAUUGAGUCAACCAAUAUAAACUUUUACCUAUAUAAAUA